rnacentral:misc_RNA from 1 species
UUACCGUGGGAAAAUGCUCUGGAUUAUGCGUUUCUCAGGCUUCUUUUCUGCAGCUAUGAUCAUGAUUAUCCUCUCACCCUCUCUCCAGUCCUUCUCUCCUGCUGAGGCCAUUCGAUCUUCUCACCUCGACAGCUUCUUGGGAAAUCUUGCCGCCUAUUCGCCGGACCGAUUCUCCUUUCGAAAAGCGGCUGUAUUCCGCAAUGCCGAUAAAUGUAGCUCCAGUGAUAACCUAAUCUCAGGGAAUACCGGUGUCUGCGAUCCUAACUUGGUACACGUUGCCAUUACACUCGAUGUUGAGUAUCUCCAGGGG